rnacentral:tRNA from 1 species
GACGGUAUAACUCAGUGGUAGAGUGUGUGCUUAAUUAGCAUGCAAGAGGUCCUGGGUUCAAUCCCCAGUCCCUCCA